rnacentral:rRNA from 1 species
UCAUCUUCGGGGGUAGAGCACUGUUUCGGCUAGGGGGCCAUCCCGGCUUACCAACCCGAUGCAAACUACGAAUACCGAAGAAUGUUAUCACGGGAGACACACGGCGGGUGCUAACGUCCGUCGUGAAGAGGGAAACAACCCAGACCGCCAGCUAAGGUCCCAAAGUCAUGGUUAAGUGGGAAACGAUGUGGGAAGGCCCAGACAGCCAGGAUGUUGGCUUAGAAGCAGCCAUCAUUUAAAGAAAGCGUAAUAGCUCACUGGUCGAGUCGGCCUGCGCGGAAGAUGUAACGGGGCUAAACCAUGCACCGAAGCUGCGGCAGCGAC